GUUUUAUCUCAGCUAGACACUCUUUGGACACUUCCAGUUGAGGAAAAUCAUAGAGGCAGUUCAUCCUGCUAAGGUACAAUGAGUUGAUUUGUCCACUAACUACCAAGGGAGCCAACAGAGGGGAACAGUUUGAACUAGACGCCUAGCACUUUAGACUGAUCGUGGGAAUAAAAAAACCAGGAAGCCAGAGGGAAUGUUCUCCCCUUGGUGGCCAUAGGCUGGCCAGAACUGUGGAGGAACCACAGGUAGAAGGGAGAGAGGAAGCUGUGCCCUCAGUUAAACCUCACAUAUUAAUUGGAUCUGUGGUUAUGUGGAGGCAGCCCCUCUCUGAAAUGCAGUGGAUGAUGUGGGAGGAGAAGAGGAAGAAGAGCACAAAGACCCACCUGCUGUCUGUUGGCUAGCCCACGCUGGCUAAUUAACUGACAAACCAGCAGUCUGUCAGGACAUACCUUAAGAACAAGCUGUGUGAAGUGAAUGCGUUUGUUGUGGAAACGAAGUCGAGGAAGUUCAGUUGAUAAGAAAGGCUAUUUAAGGACUGUAAGUCUCCUGGAUGACAGUGCAGUUUGGUGGAAGCCUAGAAAAGCACCAAGAUGCUGUUAGGAGGAGCUCUGUCAGGAAUAGGUGUUUGAGUGAAGCUGGUCUGCCUCUUAGAAGAGCCUGGAUAACAGCAGAGGCUGUAAAAUAAUCCCCUUACAAAUGGACUGAUGCACAGUGGUG
rnacentral:lncRNA from 1 species